AAGACCUGCUCUUGCAACAUAUUACCCAGCACUCAAUCCUUGCAAAUACGAGCGCGGUGAAUGAUGACAUGUCGCCGAUGCAACAGAAAGCAAAUUGCCUCCGAAACGCAGAAUCUAUCUUUUUAAAUAUUUCAUUUGUUGCCCAGCAAACCACAUUUGGAAUGAAAAUGACUGCGAGUCCUGUUGUAACCAGCUGAAGCUCUCUUUCAUCGAAAACCCUCAAUGUAAGCUGCAGCUAAGAGGUUUGGGCUUGCUAGAUUCAUCUGGCUGCACUUUUGGCUUGGCAGAAUUCUAUGGCCUUGGUUGAAAAGCAAGGAGUGUGCGCGCGUGUGCGCGCGUGCGUGCUCGGCUCCUCCCACGGAACGGAGGCGUGUCCUGUACGAGUCCUCUCGAGUGUGAGAACAGUGAAACGCUUUGCCGACCCAUCCCUGAUUGAGGGACACCCUGGCCCUCGGAGACGUCGAUGGUGAUGGGCCAAGCAUGGAUGCUCAUCUCGUCUCCCCACCCGGACCCCCGCCCCCAAGACCCUCGACUCUCUCACACCCCGCCUCUGGCCACAGUUCACACACGCGAUUCCCUCCGCUGGCUGCAGGAAGGGCUCCUCCUUGCAGGAAGCGUAAUGCCGUCCACCCUGUCUCUGCAGCGUGUCAGGGGUGACCAUUACUGGAACCUUCUGGACUUCGGCUGGCUUCUCUUCAGCUGAGCGGCUCCCUGUCUAGAGCAGACUGGGUGAUGUUAUUUAUGGCAUCAAGGCCUGGCGUUCUGGAAGUCACUCCACACCAUGAUGGGCAGUUUUCUGCCUACCCCUGCAUCCUGUCCGGAGCCCCGGGGUUCCUUGUGUAGGACGAGGCAGUUCCAGAACUGGUCUCUGGUCUUUACUGGAGAAAGGCUUCGAUUCAACACAUAACUAUCGCUCUCCUUCACCAGUGAAAUUUCCAGUUUGGCAGUGCACGUGUGUGAGAUGUGAUACCCUCAUGACCUGUGUCUUCUCUCCCUUUCGCCUCCUAAACUUCACUGUAGGUUUCAAUUUGAUUUUUUUUUCUCCAGCAAUUUUCACACCAUGUAAAGUGCUAUCUGCCACCUUGCUUGGCUAAACCGAGCGAUCGUCUCUGGCCAACAGUCCCCAGUCUCCCUCCAGGAGAGUAAGGGGCGAAAGAAAAAACCCUCUAAGAAGCUUAAAGGAUUGUGGAAGCUGUCAAAUUGGCGUGGGCCUCUCUACCACGCUGCCUGCACAGCGUCUGGUUGCUCAGCUGUGUCUCUGCGCAUGAGAGCUCGGAGGAUGUGUCUCCAGCACCAGGACAGCUCUUAAUGGACUUCUGAACGUUUGAUUUCUGCCUUCGGCCUUUAAUUGUACAUAAAAGUUUUGGACGAAAUGCCUGUCGGUGAAUCAUGACGCAUCUCUUGGUAUUUUUUUGUUGGGAACUGUGUUAGUUUUUAUCAGGACUAUUUCUCGGUCGCAAAGUGUCAGAAAGGUGGUGUGUUUGGAGAUUAACUCGUUCUAAGAUACCUCCACAUGCAGGUGU